rnacentral:misc_RNA from 1 species
UAACCCUCAAGCCUAGCUUGGUGUUGGAGCAUGCCCUCUAGCAGCUCUUAAAACUAGUGGCAGUGCCUUCCGGCUCUAAGCGUAGUAACUUUUCUCGCUAUAGGGUCCGGAGGUCCGCUCGCCAGAACCCCCAAUUUUUCUAU